AUUCCUCUCUUUUUUUUCCCCAAAGGUGUUUACAAAAUAUGGGAAAUGCUACAUGUUUAACUCAGGAGAGGAGGGGCGGCCUCUCCUCACCACAGUGAAGGGGGGAACAGGGAAUGGCCUGGAAAUCAUGCUGGACAUCCAGCAGGAUGAGUAUCUGCCCAUCUGGGGAGAAACAGAGGAGACGACAUUCGAGGCCGGAGUCAAGGUGCAGAUCCACAGCCAGUCUGAGCCUCCCUUCGUCCAGGAGCUGGGAUUUGGGGUGGCUCCUGGAUUCCAGACCUUUGUGGCCACCCAGGAGCAAAGACUGACGUACCUGCCCCCGCCGUGGGGUGAGUGCCGCUCCCCGGAGCUGGGGCUGGCGUUUUUCCCGGUGUACAGCGUCACGGCCUGCAGGAUCGACUGCGAGACUCGGUACAUCGUGGAGAACUGCAACUGCAGGAUGGUGCACAUGCCAGGGGACGCUCCCUUCUGCACCCCGGAGCAGUACAAGGAAUGUGCAGAGCCCGCACUCAGUCUCCUGGCGGAGAAGGACAGCAAUUACUGCAUCUGCAGGACCCCCUGUAACCUCACCAGGUACAACAAGGAGCUCUCCAUGGUCAAGAUCCCCAGCAAGACCUCAGCCAAGUACCUGGAGAAGAAGUUCAACAAGUCGGAAAAAUACAUCUCAGAGAAUAUUCUCGUGCUGGACAUUUUUUUUGAAGCACUCAACUAUGAGACCAUUGAGCAGAAGAAAGCCUAUGAAGUGGCAGCCUUACUUGGUGACAUUGGUGGCCAGAUGGGGCUGUUCAUUGGGGCCAGCAUCCUCACCAUCCUUGAGCUCUUCGACUACCUGUAUGAGCUGAUCAAGGAAAAAUUAUUGGACCUUCUUGGAAAAGAGGAAGAGGACGGGAGCCAUGACGAGAAUGUGAGCACCUGUGAUCCAGUGCCAAACCACUCGGAGAGCCUGAGCCACACUGUGACCGUGCCCCUGCAGGCCCCGCUGGGGACGCUGGAGGAAAUCGCCUGCUGACCCCUCCCCACCACAGUGCCCAUCCCGAGGAAGGAAAACUGCACAGGGAAAACAGGGACCCAGCUCAGUCCCUGGGUUUCAGUGCCAGAAGGAGCAUCCCAGAAUUCUCCAUUCCCACCGCCGUAGGCUGAGAGUUUUAGAAUAAAAGAGAUCCCAAAACCGCCGCUCUCGGAUUCUUCUCCCGGCCGCGUACUCUGGGUGAGGCUGGGCAGAAUCCCGAGCUCAGCCCAAGGUGAGCAUCCCAGGAGAGGAGGCACAGGGGCUCCCUAUGGAUCAUCCCAGUCCUGCUCCUCCGCCUGCAGUGCCUGGAGAGUCCGGGAGCGGCAGGUGGGGUCGGGUUCAUUCAUUUCUUUCUUAAUUUUUGGGGGGAAUUUUUGGAAUUUCCUUCUCCCAUCCAUGGAUUCUGUGCUUUCUCCUCAUUCUCCUGACUGAUAUUAAAGCUGGUCUUGUGGAAAUGGC